rnacentral:rRNA from 1 species
ACGGGGUGCAGCAGGCGCGAAACCUCUACAAUGCACGAAAGUGUGAUAGGGGGAUUCCACGUGCAAGCUUUGCUUGCUUUUCUCAAGUCCAAAACGCUUGGGGAAUAAGGGCUGGGCAAGACCCGUGCCAGCCGCCGCGGUAACACGGGCAGCUCAAGUGGCGUUCGCGUAUAUUGGGCCUAAAGCGUGCGUAGCCUGUUAAGAAAGUUCUUGGUGAAAGCUUGCGACUCAAUCGUGAGAAUGGCCAGGAAAACUACUUGACUUGGGACCGGAAGAGGUCGGAGGUAUUCCUUGGGUAGGGGUAAAAUCCUGUAAUCCUUGGAGGACCAUCGGUGGCGAAGGCGUCCGACUGGGACGGGUCCGACGGUGAGGCACGAAAGCUAGGGGAGCGACCCGGAUUAGAUACCCGGUUAGUCCUAGCCGUAAAUGAUGUCUGUUUGGUAUUGCGUGGCUUACGAGGCCCCGCAGUGCCGUAGGGAAGCCGUUAAACAGACCGCCUGGGAGUACGCCGCAAGGC